AUUUACUCACAGGUUUCGAUUAAUUCAUAAAUUGAUUUUUAUUUCCGUACGCCGAAUCCAGGCUUUAUUAUACGUUUUCCGGGAAAAUGACGUUACGCCAUCACUUCCGGUUUUUCAAACGUGCAGAACUACCUUAAGCAUUGAUGAAUACAGGCCAAUGCCUUCAUUAAGCAUUGAUGAAUAAUAGCGUAUGCAUACAUUAAGCAUUGAAGAAUACAGGCCAAUGCCCACAUUAAGCUGUGAUAAAUACAGGCCAAUGCAUACAUUAAGCAUGGAUGAAUACAGGCCAAUGCCCACAGUAAGCAUUGAUGAUUACAGGCCAGUCUUACCUUAAGUGUUGAUUAAUAUAGACCAACACCCACUGUAAACACUGAUGAAUACAGGCCAUUGUCAAUAUAAGCAUUCCCAGUAAACACCUGACGUCGUACCGACGUUGGUUAGACGUUGGAUUUUGGUCGCGACGUCGGCGACCUGAAUCCAACGUCUAACCAACGUCAUAUCCACGACGUCUAAUAGACGUCAGACUUAGACGUCUAGAAGACGUUGGCAUUAGGUUGGAUAGAAAGUCUGAUAAAUGUUUUUAGUUAUAAAACUAACUGGUAUAAUUUUGCUAGUAUAGUUUAAAGAUAUUUACUUGUUUUCAUAAAGGCCUGGACAUGCGCUUAAUUAUUAAUAAUAGUUCAUUCUCACAACAAGCAUUAUAUUAAUUAUGUUACAAUAUUGCAUGAGAGUGUCUAUUUUCGGAGACGGAUUUUUUCACGAACUUUAAACUGUUAAAGAUAAAAAUGCAUUCUAUACACAUAUAUAAAUUAUUCUAAAUUCACAUAGAUCUUCUCUUCUACACAUGUUGUCUAUAAGUCACACACUCGCGAGAUAAGCCUGCAUCGGUUUACACAGUCUUCCUGUAAUUUGAUAUUUAUUGGGUUAAGAUAGAGCAAGUUUAUAAAUACUUUACACAAAGGGAAGGAUCCACAACGUGGAAAUGUUGGCGGAGUUGAAGAAUCAUACAAAAAUGACGAAACUUGAAAGUUUCAAUUACUGCAUUACUUUUUGGACUUAUUGUAUUAGACUUACGUCGCCAUAAUAUGAAAUAAAGAUGAUAAAAUACA